rnacentral:lncRNA from 1 species
CCUCGGCACCCAGUCCUCAUCGCCUCCUCCGUCCCCACAGCCCGACGUGCCGCUGGUCUUCCUCUCCACGCACAAAUCCCAGCUGGACGGGCUGCUGCUCUCCUUCCUCUUCUUCUCCAACGGCCUGGGGGUGCCCAGGGUGACAGUGGAUAGCUUGAACUGCAGCCCUUGCCUCCGGGCCUUGCUUCGCUGCCUGGGGGGGGUUUUCCUGCCUGUGGGGAUGGAGCAGGCAUCGAGUGGGCAGGACGGAGGGCUCCCAGCUGCUGUGCUUGCCUCGUACGUCGAGGAGGUGCUGAGGAGCCGCCAGCCUCUGCUGAUCUUCCUGGAGGAGCCCUGCGCCCCGCGGUGCCUUUCAGCUACUGCCCAGGAGUGGCUGGCCCCGGUGCUCCGAGCCGUGCGGGACGGCGCCGUCCCCGAUGUCCUCGUGGUCCCCGUGGGCAUCGCCUACGACCUGGCCCCCGACAGCCUCCAGGGCAGCGGAGCGGUGAGCGGCCCCGAGCCCACUCCUGCCCUGGGA